UCUUGACCUAUCUUUUUUAAAUACAAAAAGCACUUUUUUUUUUUAAAGAAAGCCCAGUGGUAUGAAUAUUUAAAUGAGUUUUCAUUCUUAACAAUGUCAUAGAUAAUGUAUAAAAUGUCAAUGUUAAGGAUUGGGGCCUAUUUUAAACACCUUUAAUCAACAAAUUUUAAAAAGAACAAAUACCACAACCCAUAAGGCAGACAGACGACUUACUAUUGAAGUAUUAAACUGUCAAAAUACUCUAAAUUGUUAAUACAUGUAUCGUUUUUAGUCCCAAUAUAUAUUUGAAAUCCAGGAAGAAAGUGUUGAAUGAUAUGUCGAAUUGUGUAUAACUUUUAAUAGUUAUUGGAGUUAAAAACAGAGAAAGGUUUUAUUUAUUGAAUGAUAUUCUUUUUUUAUACGCAAUCUUUUUAUACUUUGUGAUGUUUUCUAUUAAGAACUUGAUAUACCGUUCAUUUCAUAUCUAUACAUUCUAAUGAGAUAGUCCCAUUCAUCCUUAAAGUGCCCUAUAAUUGUAGAUUUUAUUGAGCGAUAAAACAGUUAUUCAUAAAGAUAUUAACCAUUGCCAGAAUUGUAUGAAAAUUACUUACACCCAGUGUUGUUGUCGAGCCUGCAACUUUUGUUGAUAGUAAUCCGGCGGCGGCGGCGUUAGCUAACUUCUUAAAAAGCUUUAUAUUUUAGAAGGUGGAAGACCUGGAUGCUUCAUACUUUGUAUAUAGAUGCCUCAUGUUACGAAGUUUCCGUCAUUCACAUGUCAAAUGUCCUUGACCUCAUUUUCAUGGUUUAGUCAGUGGCGGAUCCAGAAAUUUUCAUAAGUGGGGGCCCACUGACUGACCUAAGAGGGGGCCCGCUCC
rnacentral:lncRNA from 1 species